rnacentral:rRNA from 1 species
GUCCGUAUCCGUCGUGGGAGAAGGAAAUUUGGGAGUCGCUGUCCUUAGUUCGAGAGGACCGGGAUGGACAUACCUGUGGUGUUCCAGUUGUCGUGCCAACGGCAUAGCUGGGUAGUUAUGUGUGGACGGGAUAAGUGCUGAAAGCAUCUAAGCAUGGAGCCCCCCUCAAGAUGAGAUUUCCCAACUUGGGUUAUAAGAUCCCUCAAAGAUGAUGAUGUUAAUAGGUUGGAGGUGGAAGCAUGGU